rnacentral:rRNA from 1 species
AUUGAACGCUGGCGGCAGGCCUAACACAUGCAAGUCGAGCGGAUGAAGGGAGCUUGCUCCUGGAUUCAGCGGCGGACGGGUGAGUAAUGCCUAGGAAUCUGCCUGGUAGUGGGGGAUAACGUCCGGAAACGGGCGCUAAUACCGCAUACGUCCUGAGGGAGAAAGUGGGGGAUCUUCGGACCUCACGCUAUCAGAUGAGCCUAGGUCGGAUUAGCUAGUUGGUGGGGUAAAGGCCUACCAAGGCGACGAUCCGUAACUGGUCUGAGAGGAUGAUCAGUCACACUGGAACUGAGACACGGUCCAGACUCCUACGGGAGGCAGCAGUGGGGAAUAUUGGACAAUGGGCGAAAGCCUGAUCCAGCCAUGCCGCGUGUGUGAAGAAGGUCUUCGGAUUGUAAAGCACUUUAAGUUGGGAGGAGGGGCAGUAAGUUAAUACCUUGCUGUUUUGACGUUACCAACAGAAUAAGCACCGGCUAACUGCGU